rnacentral:lncRNA from 1 species
UUCAAAUAAAUACAAAUAAGUAAGAAUGGAAAAUAAAGAAAGAGUAAAAAUUGGGCCCUUUUGGACUAUUACUGGGCUAACCAGAUCUUGGGCCUAAACUGAAUGGAUUUUCAAUCCAUUUUCUCAUGUAUAUCAGCUGUAUGCAGAAGCUAUUUUUUUCCUGCGUUUUUGUAUAUCUAAUGUAUAUCAUACUGUAUAUCAGCCAUAUAUGCGUAUAUUUUAGUCUUCCACCUGUACACCAACUUCACCUCCCGUUUUUGACUGUAUAUCCUAUGUAUACUGCUGUAUAUCUGUGCAUACAGCUUUAUACCAGCCCAAUUUCUUCUUGCAUUAGUCCAUUUUGGACUUUUGGACUUGGUACGGGUCUUGACUCGACGCAAGUUGUGUUUGACUCGACGCACGAGGGAAGAGAGUUCGAGGGACUCAACAAAGGAGUUCAUGCAUAAAAAAAAGGUAAGGAUUAGUAUGUGAAGGAACACCACCAAUUAAGCAUUCGAAUGUGAACAAAGAAUUCAAGCAAAUUAGACACUCUCCAAACAUGACAAAAGAGGUAUUUUAUGAUAGUGAGUAUAAACUUUCAAACUCCUUAGUAUCCUCAAAUUGAUUAAUUUCCAUAGGCGACGACUUUGGAAGAAGGAAAAUUUCUAUGUGAUUUAUCCCCAAAGGCCAAAAACAAACAAUUCCACUCCAAUUUAGUCAUUUCACAUAAAAAAAGCCAAUUAUUCAAAGCCAAUAUGAAUAGGAGAGAUACUUAAAAGGAGAACCAACCAACUUCUAGUGGCAUGCAAUUCAAAAUUGGAAACAAGGCAAGGAAAAUUUCACAUUUUUCAUCUAAUAAGGACACACUAAGAUUUUGACUCCAUUAUUAUUUUUAAACAAAUAAGCACCAAAGAAAGACUAAUGCGGUUGGAGGCUAGGAGAAUCGUUCUAAUGUAUACAAGAACGUAGCAAAAUCUAUAGCAAUUAAGAGUCAUAUUGGAUCAAGUCAACAUCAGCAACUAACCACACAUCACUUUCAACAAGAGCAGGAUUCAAAUUUUCUUAAGAGCUGCACUUUAAGACAACAAGAUUCAAGCCUUAUCAAACUGUGAAAUAGAAGAUGCUUGCGCACAGGACAAAACUAGCAAAAGAAAGGCGCAGCAACAACCCGAACCCAGACCAGUUAUACAACCGUACUUCAACAUCUAAAACAGGGUUUUUGAGACGGAAAUAGGCUUAUCAUGAAGUUCAGUUCUUUAUUUUUCUAAUGAGCGAGAAACAGUAUCACACACGAUAUCAUCAACGAGUGUGGAAAAAUUCCAUAAAGAAAAAAAACAAAUCUAUUAAGUACUCCCUCCAUUCCAAAUUAUAUCGUCAUUUUCUUUUUGGUCCGUCUCAAAAUGAAUGUACCUUUAAGCUCUUAAAAACACAAUUACAAUUUUACCUUUAGUGAUCCCAUUUAACUUUAAAUACUAUUAUUUCUUUUUUUAUUUAUUUUUCAAUUAAAAAUGAUUCCACUUGAUUUUAAAUACUAUUAUUUUUUUUUAAGAAAAGUAAUUUUAAACUUUAACCAAAUCAAUACUUAUUUCUUAAAUAUCGUGUUCGAUCAAAUGGCGACACAUGAUUUGAGACGGAGGGAGUAUAAAGUUUCUCAAUUACAUGGUGGUAUGUUAACUUGGGACACUUAAACCACGAAAGGCUCCGCUCAACCGCAAACAUGCACACAAACAAGACCAUACCAUUCCCAAGGUUACUGUGAUAUCCAUGAUUCAAUGUUUAAGCAUAAAAGGAAACCGAAGAUAGAAAAGAAGGGUUAUUUACCUGUUUUGGUGCAGGAACAGGGACAAACGGGCUUAACGACCGAACUUCCACCACCUAAGAUCGAUUCCGAUCACUAGAAUUUCAACAAAUCGAUAAAUUUUGAUU